UUAACUAUUAUGUAGUACUCAGACAUCACUAAAAUUCAGAGUUUGGUUCUCUGGCAGGCACAUGCAGGCAGAGCCCACAGUGGAGACCACGGUCUGCCAAAGCAACAAGAGUAAAUAAACACGGGUUGGGGCUUGGGUAUCCCGAUCUCGGCUCUACGCCCUAGCAUCCAAGUCCAAGUGUGGCACGUCUGAGGUGCUGCACUUAAACCGGGCCCCCGCCUGCAACCUAGUAGGCACAAGUGCCUCCAAAACUACAGGUCGAGAGGGGCGCAUAGUUCAAGAACGGACCGUCUACCUCUUUAAUGAUCCUUCCGCAGGUUCACCUACGGAAA
rnacentral:misc_RNA from 1 species